rnacentral:rRNA from 1 species
GACGGAGGGUGCAAGCGUUGCUCGGAAUCACUGGGCGUAAAGGGUGCGUAGGCGGUCUCGCAAGUCUGGCGUGAAAGCCCAAGGCUCAGCCUUGGAAGUGCGCUCGAAACGGCGAGGCUGGAGUGCCGGAGGGGAGAGUGGAAUUCCCGGUGUAGCGGUGAAAUGCGUAGAGAUCGGGAGGAAUACCAGUGGCGAAGGCGGCUGCCUGGCCUGUUCUUGACGCUGAGGCGCGAAAGCUGGGGGAGCAAACGGG